rnacentral:rRNA from 1 species
CACGUAGGGCGCAAGCGUUGUCCGGAAUUAUUGGGCGUAAAGAGCUCGUAGGCGGUCUGUUGCGUCCGCUGUGAAAACUCGGGGCUUAACCCCGAGCCUGCAGUGGAUACGGGCAGACUAGAGGUAGGUAGGGGAGAAUGGAAUUCCCGGUGUAGCGGUGAAAUGCGCAGAUAUCGGGAGGAACACCGGUGGCGAAGGCGGCUCGCUGGACCUUUUCUGACGCUGAGGCGCGAAAGCUAGGGGAGCAAACGGG